UAUGGUGAAUCUUUCUGAAAGGUGUUUCCUGGGACUCUGAUGAGGAACUACAAGAAUCCAGCAGUAACUUUUCCCAGUUUGUGAACAGAUAAAGAAUAGAAUGCACAUAUUCUCUUACAUACAGUAUAAAACAUCAAUCAGUGUGACGCAUCCACUGAACCUGCUGUUUAUCACUCUCAAAUGCCCUACAUGUCCCAAAGGGAUUAGUGUGUGUGUGUCCCAUCUGGCUUCAUGUAAGGCUUUCAUUGUGUCAUCAUCAACUGUGUCUUUGCGUGUGUGUGUGUGUGUGUGUGUGUGUGUGUGUGUGAGGUACAGAAAGGGUGACGGAUCACCAUUACCACCCGGCAUGGGCGGGAUGAAUCCUUUUUGUUCAACCACUCAGACUUUGUUCAGAUUAACCCUGCCUCUUGCUCUAAUCCAGGAUCCAAUAUGAGAUUAGACGUCCAACUUGCAUUGUCAGGAGCUACACCAGCAGCAUACAAAUGAGGGGGAGCGGAGGGGGAAUGGAUAGAAAAAGAGGAAGAUAAAAGGCGGAGACAAAAACUCCCAAGAGGACAGUUGAUGGGACGAAGGCAAAAUAUAAAGAAGAUGAGGAGUCAUAAAGCGUGAAGUGAGACACAUUUUGCACCAAGUGUCACAAAAUAGAAGAUGGCUGCAAGGUGAGCUUGAGCGAUGCUGCCUACCUCUGGAGUGCUCGAUUUUCACGGGCACGCAGGCGUCUUCGUCAGCACGCUUGGACUGGAAACACACGGCGUUGUCUUUCCCCUCUGCAACCACACAAGAUAAAACGGAACUAUUACAAGAUGCAAGAUAGAUUUGUGUACAGCUCAUGGCAACGUAUCAGGGUGAAACGUCUUACAAGAAGAGUCCCGUUGCCUCCAAGCUUUGUGGAUUACCAUGACCUGGAUGACUGAGACAGGCAUAUUGUACGUCUCAUGAAGUGUAUGCAGCAUGGCGAGGCGCAGCCCACCUCAUCCCGAGAUCUCAGCAUGCACUCUGCACAGCCCCUCUAGGUUCUGUUCCCUGACUUGCAUUCACCCUCCUCUUGCUCCAUCCCCCUGUGACCUAACUGCCCACCACGGAAAACGGAUCACAGCCGCCGGGCAGCAGCUACUAAAUGUGUCAAUCAAUAGGCCGUCCCUCCCAAUCAGCACUCACUGGGCCCCAGCAGACUUCUCAUAAAUGAACAACAGGGCUUUAUCAUAGUGAGCUCUUUCAUGGCCAGCCUAGGCCAAAUGUAUGUCUAUGUUUAUAUGUUGAGGUGAAACUGACCCCUUUUCAGUAAAAUAGUGACUUUCUGUUCUGGUCUGCUAAUAAAAAGCAAAAAUAACAACCAAUAAAACUUUGAAUUCCAUGC